UACGUAGGGCGCAAGCGUUGUCCGGAAUUAUUGGGCGUAAAGAGCUCGUAGGCGGCUUGUCGCGUCGAAUGUGAAAACCCGAGGCUCAACUUCGGGCUUGCAUUCGAUACGGGCAGGCUAGAGUUCGGUAGGGGAGAUCGGAAUUCCUGGUGUAGCGGUGAAAUGCGCAGAUAUCAGGAGGAACACCGGUGGCGAAGGCGGAUCUCUGGGCCGAUACUGACGCUGAGGAGCGAAAGCGUGGGGAGCGAACAGG
rnacentral:rRNA from 1 species